GUAGACCUGAGCCGUUCCUAUUCGGCCAUCUUGGCUCCUCAAAUCUAUAUUCAAAAGUCUCACUCAUUUUGCUGCUCAGCAGAAGGAUUGUAAAAAUGAAAAAUAAAAAAAAGGCUUUUACAUCAAAUAUUGAUAACGAUAAUAAUGAUUAACACAUGUGGAGCACUUACCAUCUCUCAAGCACUGCUCUAGAGCUUUCCAUGAAAGAAUCCCUCUAAUCUUCAGAACAAUCCUGUGAGAACUGGCUGAAGUUUACUUUUUGGUACUCCAGAGACCUAGCUUCUUCUUGCCUUCUUCCAAUGUGGUCUAUUUAAUCUCCUGUCGUGUGGGAAAUUAUGUUCAAAAUCUCCGUGAUCCUCUGUCCAUAGAGCUGCUGCCAAAUCAACACCUCGAUAUGUUUGUUCUUGGAGAGAAAUGAGCUAAGGAGGAAGACCGUCUAAAAAUACCACUGGACAAUUUGUACUCACUGGAGUGGUCUCUAUGGGGCAAAAGGUUUUUAGAGUGGCUCGUGGAUUUUCUGGCAAGUGGCAAACCAUACAAGAGCUACGUCAGGCCAGGAAGACAGGUACAGCCCUGUCGGUGUCAAAGAAGAACACCGGUAGCAGAAGAGCUAAGAGUGAAUGAAAAUGGAAUUAUCUUUACUUCUAGGACUUGUCUAUUGAGAAACAGCAGCGCUGGCAACCAUUUACUACCAACAAGAGGCAGUUGCAAGAGAAGAAUAUAAAAUAUGCUCUGCUCAACCCCACAAAACUCAGAGUGUCUCACAAUGGCCAAUUUAUUAUUUUUACCCUGUCCAGUGACAUGGAAGGAUGCAUCAGGGAGCUGCUAGCCUCUGCGAUGAAUAACUUAAGUCAGGCUGCAACAUGUGAAAUAAUUCAGCUGACCAGGAUUUAUAACACUAGCUAGAUUUUUUGCUUUCUUUGGGGUUCAUGAAGCAUGGUGUUGUGAGAUACCACAGGAGUCCCGGAGUAAAGUUACAUACCUAUUGCUCUUCCUUAUUUUUAUUUUUUGGUAUUUUCAUAUUAUUUUAUUGCCUAGUCCAAAUGUCUUCCUAAGCAGGGUCCAGCCUCCUAGGGGACACGUCUCUUCUGACUUUGAAAAUUAGAACCACAGACAGAUAAGACUUCUAAAUACUCUGUUUUUAUACCCUCUUCUUCACAUACCUAGUCCCAGGUGGUUUUGACUCCCUGAUGCUGUGUUGAUUGUGUUGGCCUUCAAUUUAUUUUGCUCAAUUAUUUAUGUGCAUCUGCCCAAAUAAGAGGUGUGGCAAUGCAGUGGCAUGCUUACAAUUCAGCCCAUCUCACUCCCUGGUUCAUAUGUCAGUUUGCAGGAUGGCUUGCUAGAUUUGCAAAGGGGUGUGGGGGACAGUUUCCAUCUGCUGCCAUUGCAAAACACAUCUUUCAGGGGCUACCUGGCAGGGCUGUUUUCUUUCCAGGUAAGGUUCAGGGACAUUUCCAUGCACUGAGUAGAGUCUGGAUCUUUGUUUUCCAGGUGCCUCAGAAGACUAGGACAUGGGGCAAUUGCAAAUCCUGGUCUUUGUACAUUACAUAGAACUUAGGGUAGGAAGGGACUUCAGAAGAUCAUCAGGUCAAAUUUCCCACUUCCUUGGAAUUCUCAUUUUUUAGAGGACCAAUGGUUGGCAACAUCCCUUUUUUGUGUUGUCAUUUGGAAAUUGUGUUAAAAGCCAUUCUUUCACAGUUGCUCUGUGGUCCUUCCAAUUUUCACUUUAACUGGGAAAUUUUAAUGAGAUCCUUCAAGCAAUUAAAAGAGUAGAAAAAAUACUCACAGAAGCAGAAUUUGGAGGGUAGCUAUGGCUUUUCUCUGUUGACAAACCCCCUUUUGACUUCUUGACAUCACUGAAUCAAGUCUUAGUGUCUUGAGAGGUUACUGCCUGAAUACAGGUUAAAUAUGUUAAUAUUCACUGAUUGGAGGAAAGUACCAUGAGCAAAUCUAAUGCAGGAUCCUGGAAUGCUGAGGGCAUUAGUGGCUCCAUAAAAUGUAAAUGCAUUCUUAAUUAUCUCAAGUCACUGCACGCCCAAGUAGCUCUUUUGUAAGAAAAACACAGCUUACUGAUAAUGAGCAUGAAAAUUACUAAGAGAUUGGUGGAGUAAAUCUCUUAAACCUCCUUUCUUUUCUUUUCUUUUUUUCUUCUCCAAAUUUUGAUGUGACUUCGCUAAUUUGAGUAUGUGUCUCUUUUUAGAUUCUACAGAUAACCUUAGGGCCCCACAAGGCAUUUUGGGUGAUUGAAAUAAUAGCAGUUUGUACCUUACGGGAACCUCUAAAGAUGAUGAUGAUUAUUAUUAUUAUCAUGACUGAUUUUAUUGAAUCUAUGAGGCUUAUGAGGUCUUAAGUUCAAGAUCAGCCUGGC
rnacentral:lncRNA from 1 species